UUAGCUGGCCCUCUUCUCAGGUGUAGAUCACGUAUUAUCAUUUCACCUGUUUUUGAUUCUCUGAUGAGGCAAGUCCCAGGACUUAUCAGCAGGGAUAGGCCUCAUUGCCAAGACAGCUCUGUUCAGUAUUUGGAAGAAAGCCUGACAGGUUUCUCCGGGAAAGUGACCAUCCAUGGAAUGAAUGAAAUGUUCCCUUUCUAUUCCUACCACCAAUAACAUUUUCCCUCGGCCUCAAGAGACACUCACAAAACAAUGGCCCACAGUGCUUUUUAGGACAAGAACUGCAGUUGUGUACUGUGCGUGCAUAGUCCUACGCAGGAGGAAGGCAAUGUUUAAAGCUGCUGUCGCCUCCUGGAAAAAAAAAAAAAAGAAAACUGGGACUCUGAGUCAACGUGGGUCCAAGCCUGUAGCCCCAAAUCGGAUAAUCUCUGCAGCUGAUAACAAGCAAAAGAGAAGCCAGGCAACAGCCAUAUUAAAGAAGAAAACAAUCAACUCUGAGGGGCUGACAGACUGUGGACCCAUCAACUGGCUUCCUUGCCCUCCAGCUUCCAGUAGGCUUCAGCCAAGGAGACAUGGGGAAGAAAUGAAAGGAAGAAGACUAAGAUUGGGUCUUUAUUGGAGUAUUUAUUGCCUUGAUGGAAGAUCCAGCACCUGUUGGGUGACUUUCUCACAGAGAUCUGUGUGCCCUUCCUUUCCCGUGAUCAAAGCACUGAGAUGGGGCCCUGAAGCUGGGUUAGACCAAGCAACCUUCCACUGCGCUACAAAGAGGCUAACUCAGAAUGAACACAAGGUCCUUCCCUGUCUUGAAAUUUUGAAGUCUGCUAACAUUUUUUCUAAGAGGUAGGAAACAGCAGAAGGGGAAGCAGAUACAAAAGUAGAGGGAGAGUGAAUGUGAAAAGGAAGAGCAGUGGUCUAGGGCAUCGCUGGGAGGGGUUAGGGGGUCUGGCACAGAGGGUCAUGGGUGAAGUGGCAGGAGAUGCUGUUGGGAAGGAGAGCUGGGGCUGGCAUCUUACUGGAUGCUGAAGCACAUAGCACAGCUCCGAAAACAGUGAAAUUCAAUCAAGGGAGCUGAAUCUUACAGUAUGUUGAAGAUUCAAGCUGUCUUUGUUAAAAGAUUCAUCUUCCUAAUUAGACUGUGAGCACUACAAGGUUAGUGAUUGUUUUCCACAUUUGUAGGGUCCUGCACAGUACCUGGCAUAUGGUAAUGGUGUAUAAACCCCUG
rnacentral:lncRNA from 1 species